UACGGAGGGUGCGAGCGUUGUCCGGAAUCACUGGGCGUAAAGGGCGCGUAGGCGGCCCUGCAAGCGUGUGGUGAAAGCCCGGGGCUCAACCCCGGGUCGGCCGUGCGGACUGCGGGGCUCGAGCACUGUAGGGGCGGGUGGAAUUCCCGGUGUAGCGGUGAAAUGCGCAGAUAUCGGGAGGAACACCAGUAGCGAAGGCGGCUCGCUGGGCCGUUCCUGACGCUGAGACGCGAAAGCUAGGGGAGCGAACAGG
rnacentral:rRNA from 1 species